CCCGUUCCUGGGCUGGGUUGUCAAUGGGACGCUCGCUCCCGCCUUCCCCUCUCCCCCUUCUGUCCCCUGUCCUGGCUCACUCCCCCGCCUCUGGAGUCCUUCUCCCCGCCCCCCUCCACACCGGCUCGCAGUCUGUGAAUGAAACCCUCCCGCAGCAGCUUUCUUCAACCGAACCCCCCGCGCCGAGCCGCUCCGGCCUCAGACGUGCAGCCCCGGGCACCGCGAGAAGGGUUUGUUCAUGUUAAUCACCCCGACCCCUCCCCGGCAAGGGACUGACAACGCAGACGGCACUUGGCAAAAAGACUUGGGGAGGGCGGGAGCCCGAGCCAGCAGCAGCUCGAGCUGCUCCCCCGGGGCUCCCCGGGCGCAGGAGGGGCGCUGUGAAAGGCAGGGGUGGAGCGGAGGCUGAUAAGCCCCACGCAGCGGAGAACGAACUCCAAGGGGCAGGGAGCACAGUGACCUUGGGUAUUAACCAGGACACCGAGUGUCUUUACUAUUAUUGUGUUGUUAAAAGGAUAAUAAGGAUUGAAGCGAUCACGGAGUGCAGCCGUGCUGCCUGCUACUGUAGCAGCCUUCGAGCAGAGGUUCAGAACGGUAAACUAGCGAGCCUGGGAAGAGACUGUAACAUAAGGAGAGAGGACUUCCCAUUUAAUACAUCUUUGUAAAAUGCUGUCAAAUAGCAUCUUAUUUCAAACCUUGUCUUUGUCAAUUACUUUUAAAAAGCUAUGAUUUCAUGUGCCUUGCUUUUGCCAGUUUUCCUCUCGUUGGUUAUAUAAGUCCCAUUAUUGAUAUGGAGUUUGAUACAGACAUGAUGGGACUGUCACAGCUGUUGUGAUUUUGAGUCAGUCUGAUCCAAAACUAUUUUACAAACAUUACACAUAUAUAAGGAAUCACUUCACCUAGCACUGGAAAGCAACCACUGCUAAAGCAAAAGCAUGGUAAAUGUUUAACAGCGCUCAGCAACACUACACAAUAGUUUUAGAUGCUGUUUCUAAUUGAAGAUACAGGAGGGAUUCAGGUAGCUAGAACGUAAUUAGCAGGACUGGAAUUUGACUAGGACACGAGAGAGAAUUCCCCAUAGCAGAGAAUUCUAGCAUUGAGAGCAUCAGCAAUGUUUGCAACACACCCCAUUGCCUCACACACAAAAUAUUUGCCACAGCAUAUAAACAGAACUAGGCAGCACUAGACACUUUGGUGCCCGAGGCCAAUGUCAGCCAGCUGUGUGGGAAUGCUUAAAGGAGCACCUGGACAGGAGCUACUCCUAAAAAUUAGGUGCCUUAAAGACUGCCUAUGUAAACUAAACAACUAAUGUCAGCCCCACCAGCAUCUCUCCAAUUGCACUUGCUGUGAGUGAACUUAUUUAGGAAACAUUAAACCCCAUAAUUCAAUCACCAGUGCAGCUCCACCCAUGGAAGUUAUAGUUUAGACAAGACUCAGGCACUUUUUAUCAUAUGUCAUCUUACUCUACACUAAGUAGUUUUAGGCAACAGAGUGGUGAAAAUGCCUAAAUUACUUUUGAAAUACAGUCACCACUACUGCUUCCACCAUUGGGGCUAAUUGGUGGGGAAUAAGUCUGAAUUUUUCUGCUUUGAAUAUAGCCAACAAAUAAAGUACAUGCUUAUAAACUA